rnacentral:lncRNA from 1 species
CUUCAUCAUAAUUGCAUCAUCUGCAAAGAGCCUGUUUCCAAACAUGAUGGUUAAUACUGAGUGUCUACUUAAUUGGAUUGAAGGAUGCAAAGUAUUGCUCCUGGAUGUGUCUGUGAGGGUGUUGCCAAAGGAGAUUAACAUGUGGGUCAGUGGACUGGGAGAGGCAGACCCACCCUCAAUCUGAGUGGGCACCAUCUAAUCAGCUGCCAGCCAGCCAGGACAAAAGCAGGCAGAGGAACAUGGAAGGACUGGACUUACUGAGUCUUCUGGCCUCCAUCUUUCUCCAGUUCUGGAUGCUUCCUGCCCUCGAACAUCAGACUCCACAUUCUUCAGCUCUUUGACUCUUGAACAUACACCAGUGAUUUUCCAGGGACUCUCAGGCCUUUGGCCACAGACUGAAGGCUGCUCUGUCGGCUUCCCUACUUUUGAGGUUUUGGGACUCACACUGGCUUCCUUGCUCUUCAGCUUGUAGAUGGCCUAUUGAGGGACUUCGCCUUGUAAUCAGAAGCAUUACCUGCCCCAGAGGCUACCUGCCACUCAGUGAAGAUCAUAUGCCUAAGUCAUGACAUCAACAUCAAACUCUCUUCAAAUCUGGGAGAAAGGCUCAGCUCUUACAACCAGGACAAGAAGAAAUGACACCAGUAGAGAGAUCAUUUGGUGAGCAGCAGGGUUGAAAGAGCCUCAAACCAUGGAGAGAGAGCCUGGAUCUCGAGUAGAAAGGCUUCUGGCACUGAAGAAGUCAAACAGGAUCCCUGAGAGGGAAAAAGCCAGGAGCUUGGGGAAUUAUCUUCACCAAGGUCUGUCUAGAGAUGUGGUUGGCAGAUUUAUGACCCCCAAAGAUGUCUACAUCCUAAACCCAGGAAUCUGUUGCUAAGACUGAGUAAAACAAGAAAAGCAAUGGGGAACCUCACUCACAUCCAUGCUUCCUUGUCUCAUCUGUAUGUAUGAUUUUUGCACAACUUAUUUGAUACUUUGGACAUAAAGCAAGGUAAAGUACACUCGAAUUGAGUCCAAGGUGAUAUUACUACCAAUCCUUUAAUCCAAGCUUUAUUUAGUGGUUGAACUUAGCAAAAUUUACUUGGUAAAUUCACAUGAAAUAUCAGAACCAAUCGUAGAUGCCUCAGGGAGAUAGGGUGGAAUAAUUGAAAGGGAGAGGAAGUAUCCCUAUUUAUGUUAUUUUUGUAGCUGUGAAGUUUUAAAUCUGUUGAGAAAAAUCUUGCUUCCAUAUUAAGAGAUCAUGCCUAAAAGUAGAAAAGAAAAAAAGAAAAGCAGAGUGAGAGAUGGAGAAAGACCAGGU